UUUGACCUUUGUCAAGGUCAUUAGUCCCCAAUGUGAUUGCUGAAGACCCCAUGGGUCUAGGACCUUUGGUUAUAUAGUAAAAGCUGAUUUUGUCUUUUCAGAAACCUAAAACAGGGGUUAUGCCCCUUACAAAAAGGUCAAAUCUCUUCGGUCAAAAUGUAACAAAGUUGCGCCGUAAUGACCCAAACAUUUUCCACUAUUUAAAACUUCUGUAAGUUUAAUGGUUGCUGAGAUUAUCCGGUAACAAGGUGUUAGGUCAAAGGUCAAGGUCAACAUACACAUUUGACCUUGAGGUAUUUUUCAAAGUCACAUGAAUUGAUGAUGAAUGGUGAAGAUCCUAGGUGUCUACGACUUACGGUUUCUGAGUUUGGGUGGCCAACCGACACCGGUUAAUUUUAAUAGGGGCAUAACCCUACCAAUGAGUUGUUGAAUCCUUUCGAUCCAAAUGUGACGAAGAACCGGGGUCUGGUCCUGAACAAAUUUCACCCUUUGUUUUUUUUUCUACCUAUUACGGUUACGGUGUUGGAACGGUAACAAGGUUUUUGGGUUUCGGAGGGAUUACUCCGAACCGACAAAAUAUUUCGACU
rnacentral:lncRNA from 1 species